rnacentral:rRNA from 1 species
AGAGUUUGAUCAUGGCUCAGAAUGAACGCUGGCGGCGUGCUUAACACAUGCAAGUCGCACGAGAACGCUUCAGCUUGCUGAAGUAAGUAAAGUGGCGCACGGGUGAGUAACGCGUGGGUAAUCUACCCUUGAAUUGGGGAUAACCCGCCGAAAGGCGGGCUAAUACCGAAUGACAUCCUGAAAACUUAUGUUUUAAGGAUCAAAGGUGGCCUCUACAUGUAAGCUAUUGUUUGGGGAUGAGCCCGCGUACCAUUAGCUUGUUGGUAGGGUAAUGGCCUACCAAGGCUACGAUGGUUAGCUGGUCUGAGAGGAUAAUCAGCCACACUGGAACUGACACACGGUCCAGACUCCUACGGGAGGCAGCAGUGAGGAAUUUUGCGCAAUGGGGGAAACCCUGACGCAGCAACGCCGCGUGAGUGAUGAAGGCUUUCGGGUCGUAAAGCUCUGUCAAGUGGGAAGAACUCAUAUGGUAUUAAUACUGCCAUAUGUUGACGGUACCACUGAAGGAAGCACCGGCUAACUCCGUGCCAGCAGCCGCGGUAAUACGGGGGGUGCGAGCGUUAUUCGGAAUUACUGGGCGUAAAGCGCGCGUAGGCGG